rnacentral:rRNA from 1 species
CGGGGUGCAGCAGGCGCGAAAACUUUACAAUGCUGGCAACAGCGAUAAGGGGACCUCGAGUGCCAGGAUACAAUCUUGGCUGUCGCGAUGCCUAAAAAGCAUUGCAUAGCAAGGGCCGGGCAAGACCGGUGCCAGCCGCCGCGGUAACACCGGCGGCUCGAGUGGUAACCGCUAUUAUUGGGUCUAAAGGGUCUGUAGCCGGCCGGAUAAGUCUUUUGGGAAAUCCAGCUGCUCAACAGUUGGGCUUUCAGAAGAUACUGUUCGGCUCGAGACCGGGAGAGGUGAGAGGUACUUCAGGGGUAGGGGUGAAAUCUUGUAAUCCUUGAAGGACCACCAGUGGCGAAGGCGUCUCACCAGAACGGAUCUGACGGCAAGGGACGAAAGCUAGGGGCACGAACCGGAUUAGAUACCCGGGUAGUCCUAGCCGUAAACGAUACUCGCUAGGUGUCAGCCACGGUGCGACCGUGGUUGGUGCCGUAGGGAAGCCGUGAAGCGAGCCACCUGGGAAGUACGGCCGCAAGGCUGAAACUUAAAGGAAUUGGCGGGGGAGCACAAGGGCG